rnacentral:rRNA from 1 species
AGUAGCUCAUGCCCCGCUUCCAGGAAAAGCCUCUAAGCUCUAGAUUAUCAUUAAUCGUACCCCAAACCGACACAGGUGGUCAGGUAGAGAAUACUCAGGCGCUUGAGAGAACUCGGGUGAAGGAACUAGGCAAAAUGGUGCCGUAACUUCGGGAGAAGGCACGCUGGCAUUAGGUGAAGUGAUUUACUCAUGGAGCUGAAGCCAGUCGCAGAUACCAGCUGGCUGCAACUGUUUAUUAAAAACACAGCACUGUGCAAACACGAAAGUGGACGUAUACGGUGUGACGCCUGCCCGGUGCUGGAAGGUUAAUUGAUGGGGUUAUCCGUAAGGAGAAGCUCUUGAUCGAAGCCCCAGUAAACGGCGGCCGUAACUAUAACGGUCCUAAGGUAGCGAAAUUCCUUGUCGGGUAAGUUCCGACCUGCACGAAUGGCGUAAUGAUGGCCAGGCUGUCUCCACCCGAGACUCAGUGAAAUUGAACUCGCUGUGAAGAUGCAGUGUACCCGCGGCAAGACGGAAAGACCCCGUGAACCUUUACUAUAGCUUGACACUGAACAUUGAGCCUUGAUG